UACAGAGGGUGCGAGCGUUGUUCGGAAUUAUUGGGCGUAAAGGGCGCGUAGGCGGUGCGGUAAGUCACCUGUGAAAUCUCCUGGCUCAACUGGGAGCUUGCAGGCGAAACUGCCGUGCUGGAGUGUGGGAGAGGUGAGUGGAAUUCCCGGUGUAGCGGUGAAAUGCGUAGAUAUCAGGAGGAACACCGGUGGUGUAAACGGCUUUCUGGACCAUAACUGACGCUGAGGCACGAAAGCGUGGGUAGCAAACAGG
rnacentral:rRNA from 1 species